CCGACUCCGGCCAGAGCUACAUCUCCGCCGUCUACAGCGACAGCGUGGCCGCGCGCGACGGCCGUCUGCGCCCCGGCGACGUCAUACUGCAGGUGAACGAUGAAAAUGUGACAUCAAUGAAGACACCAGAAGUGAUAGAUUUACUGAGAAUACUCCGAGGCUCGAUCUGCAUCACCGUGCUGCGGCCGCCCGCUACAUGAACCGCCUUCAAGGAAAAAAUAACAAACGGACAAAUAUCAUAAAAAUUAUACUCACAUACAUAAAAUGAUUAUUCUAAUUUGCACUAAAAGCACUAAAAUAUUGCUUGUGCAAAGCCCUUAGGGAAUUAUAUUUUAACACAUAUAACUAUUUUAAAACGAGAUUAUUUAUAAAGACAACAUAGCUUCCUUAUACUCAAAAAAAAAAACAUAAUAGGAAUUAUAAUAUAAAGUAUUGUAAUAUUCAAACUUUAUGGAGGCUCGCGAUUGUUACUUUCCAUAUCUAAAAUUGUAUUUUACGCAGUAUUUCGAGCCGAGCUGCCAUAAAGUUUGAAUGGCACAAUACAAUAUCCGCAUGAUAUAGAAAUUAAGACAAUCAUUGGUAAGAAAACACCCGCACAAAUGAUAUAUCUGACACGUAAAUAAAAAAAUAAUGUAUUAAAAUAAGCAAUUAAUUGUGUUAUCGACUUGUAACCAUCCUAAAUAUAUUAUUGUAAACUUUUAACUUGCCACAAUAUAUUAAAAGUUCCUAUUCAAACUCUCAUAUCUGUGUCUUUUUUUAAUGACAUCACAAAAGUUGAUUUACAAUUUAAUAUAUUGUGGAAUUGAUCUCUACAAGAGUCUCGUAAAAAAGAAUUUAAUAUUGAAAAUUCGUAUAAAAGUUAGCAUUAGCUAGAAUAAAAAUAAUUACGGUAAAGUUAUAUUUCUUUGGUCAAACUCGACCUAAAACAUUGAAGAAAUGCAUGACAUUAAAAGCGUUUAGAAUUCGAAUAAAUUAGAUUUUUAAAAACAUUUAUGUCAUUUUAUCCUUAUUGGAAGAUUUAAUUUGAGUUUGAUGUCUGUAAUAAAUUAAAAUAUGAGAAUUAAUAGGUCGAUAUCGCAAACUGUAGUUAUAGCAUUCCAUGCUUUAAUCUUUGUAGUUAAUAAAAAAACAAUUUAUUUGCAAAUUUAGUAUAACAAUGCAAAUUAAAUAAAUAUAACAUCUAAAAUUUUUAUCUAAGAAAAUCGUCGUAAAGUUGCACAUUGUAUAUUAUUAUAUGGCCUGAAAGAUAAUAUUAUGGAAGAAUUUUCUAUGAUAGAUUUAUUAAUAAUUAAAAGACUUUAUUGCAACAUAUAGUACGUUAAUUUGGUAAUAUCACACUCAUAUAAAAUCUAAAUAAAUAUACAUUUGUUUGUGUGCAUGUUAUUAAAAUUUAUUUUCAAUACACGUCAACAGUUUUGUGCAUGUAACUUAAGGUUUUAAAAAUUAAUUUACUUAGUGACUUUUUAUUUACCAUCAUAUAAUAAUAAUCAUUAACAUUUACAUGUUUACGCCAUAUAUUAAUGCAAUAAAUAAGAUCUUAUAUAAUAAACAUUUAGCAUACUUUCCUGUAGCUACUAAAUAUAUAAUCUAGUCAAAUCGGAAAUAAAUUUGAUCAUUUCGUUUCGUAAUUUAAUAUAAAUAUAAGAAUAAAUACAGCUAUAAUUAUAUAAUAAAUAAUUAUUUCUACUUUGGUUGCUAAAUAUGUAAUGUUAACAACUGAAAGAUUUUAUCAACAAAUCAAGUCGAAAAUAUAUUUUAAUAAAGAAUUUAAGAUAAGAUACAGUAGGUUUAAAGUAAUCAGAACGAAUCAAAAUCAACUGAUAUUCUAAAAUUAUUGUGAUGGAUUUGUGUUAGUAGAUAUUUACUGUAUUACAUACAUUAAUGUCUAAUGGAGUUAUAUGUAUUAGUGAAACGUAAUAUACAUAAUGAUUAGUGCAAAUAAUAUAUUAAGAGAGCGGUGCGGAGCCGCGUGACGUCAUCUACUUCGUGCUCACAAAUUUUGUUAAAUAUAAAAAUGAAAAUUUA